CCUACGGGCGGCUGCAGUGGGGAAUAUUGCACAAUGGGCGCAAGCCUGAUGCAGCCAUGCCGCGUGUGUGAAGAAGGCCUUCGGGUUGUAAAGCACUUUCAGCGGGGAGGAAGGCGUUAAGGUUAAUAACCUUGGCGAUUGACGUUACCCGCAGAAGAAGCACCGGCUAACUCCGUGCCAGCAGCCGCGGUAAUACGGAGGGUGCAAGCGUUAAUCGGAAUUACUGGGCGUAAAGCGCACGCAGGCGGUCUGUCAAGUCGGAUGUGAAAUCCCCGGGCUCAACCUGGGAACUGCAUUCGAAACUGGCAGGCUAGAGUCUUGUAGAGGGGGGUAGAAUUCCAGGUGUAGCGGUGAAAUGCGUAGAGAUCUGGAGGAAUACCGGUGGCGAAGGCGGCCCCCUGGACGACUUGUGACGCUGAGGCGCGAAAGCGUGGGGAGCAAACCGGAUUAGAUACCCGAGUAGUC
rnacentral:rRNA from 1 species